UUUAUAUAAUAUAUUUUUUUUUUUUUUUUAUAUAUCAUUUUUCCUUUUUUUUACAUAUAAAGGUAGAAAAAAAUUUAUGAAAAUUGUAUUAUUUUAAUCUUUUACUAUAUUAUAUAUAUAGCGAAUAAAGGAUGGGAAUUUGAAUCCUUUUAAUAUUAUUUAUUUGUUUGUUUUUUUGUGUUUUAAUUUUUUUUUUUAAAUUUAUGAAAGAGGGAUAUGUAAUAUAUGUUUAAUAUAUAUAAUAUUUAUAGAAUACCCAUAUAUAUAUAUAUAUAUAUUUUUUUUUUUUUUUUUUUUUUUUUUUUUUUUUAUGUGUGUUUUUGUUUUCGUCCUAUUGAAAAUUUACACGGUGCGUAGUAUUAAAUUUUAUGUGUACAACAUGGAAUUUAUAAGUAUUAUAUAUUUAUAUUAAUAUAAUAUAUAUAUAUAUAUAUAUAUAUAUAUAUAUUUAAUAUUUUUGUAAUUUGUUUUAGAAUAAUAAAAAAUAAGAAAAUUACAAAUGCAGAAAAAUUUUACAAAUAAAUAUAUAGAAAGUGUAAAGCUUAUUAAUGUCAUUUAAUUUUAAAUAACAUAUAGUCACAUAUAUAUAUAUAUAUAAAUAUUUUUUACCAAAUAAAUAAAUGUAGCAAAUAUGUCUAAUAUAACAUCAAUUGUUUGUCUAUAAAUAUUUAAAAUAUUUAUUAUAUAUAUAUAUUAUAUGUAUUAUUUAUUUAUUUUCUUUUUUUAAGAAGAAUUAUUAAGUAUGUACCUUCUAUAAAAUGUAUAUAAUAAAGAGAAAAAAAUUUACCUGUACAAAAUAAAAUAUGUUCAUCUGUAAAAGGAUAAGUUUUUUUUUUUUUUUUUUUCUUUUGACCUUUUACAUAUUUCAUUGAAUUGAAAAAAAAAAAAAAAAAAGGAAAAGAAAAUAUAUACAUUAUUUAUAGAAACUACUAAAAAAGGAAACAGAAAAAAUUAUAUAACAAUAUAAUUUUUAUAAAAAUAUAAUAAAUAUAUAUAUAUAUUAAUAAAUUGGAUAACAAUUUUUAAACAUACACUUUUGACUUGUUGUUAUAUAUAAAUUUAGUUAUGUUCCCUUUUGUUUUUUUUUUUUUUUUUUUUUUUUUCUAAUAUAUAACAAGAUCAAAUUUAAAAUAUACAUAUAUAUAUAUAUAUAUAUAUAUGGAUGAAUGACCGAUAUAUAUUUUCCUUCUUUUUUGAGUAACCAUAUUUUAUAUAUCACUAUUAUGUUACUAUAAAUAUCAUUUUAUUAAAUGAUAUAUGAUUUUAAAAUAUUUUAUCAUAAAAAGAUUCAACCUUUAUUCGAAAAGAGAAAAUAAUAUAUAAAAAUAUAUUCAUAUAUAUAUAUAUAUAUAUAUAUUUCCUUUUUGUUAUAUAAUAUUUUAACAUUAUGUAAGGAAAAAAAAAAAAAAUAAUAAAAUAAUUACUUAAUAUAUAUUAUAUAUCAAUAUUAUGUAAUAAAACUCAUUUUAUUGUUUUAAAUAUAUUUGUCUAUCUUUCUCUUAGAAAAUAAGAUUUGUUGAUAUAUUAAUAAAGUCUAUACGUCUUAUUUAUUUUAUAUUAUAAAACACCAAUGAUAGUGUUCAUUCAUAUAGGAAAAGACCACAUUUUUAAGUAUACGUAUGAAAGUGUUAUUAUAUAAUUGUAUUAUAUAAUAUCUUAUUAUUUACAAAAACAAGGAAAAAAAAAAAAAAAAAAAAAAAAAAAAAAUAUAUAUAUAUAUAUAUAUAUAUAAUUAUAUAUUUUAUAAAUACAUGUCAUAUAUACUGUAUAUGUACGAAUUAAAAAAAAAAAAAAAAAAAAUAUAUAUAUAUAUAUAUAUAUAUAUAUAUAUAUAUAUAUAUAUUAGGUACAUACAUUUUUAUAUCCAAAUUUAUUUACGUACACAAAAAAGAAAAAAAAAAAAAAAAAAAAAAAAAAAAAAGAAUUAAUUUCCUUAAUAUUAUAAAAGUACAGUAAAAAUAUUGGUGUACAUACAAUUUAUGAAUACUACCCUUUUGUAUUUUAUAAAAAAAAAAAAAAAAAAAAAAAAAAAUAAAAUAAGAUAAUAAAAUGCAAUGGAAAAUAUCCAUAUAAUAAUACUUCAAUAAUUUUCCUCUUUGAAACAGACCAAAAUAUGUAUAUUUAAAUAAAAUAAUACAUAACCUUUUGUUCUUUUUAGAAAUAAAAAAUACAUAUCAUAUUAUUAUAUAUAACUUUUGUAGUACACCCUUAAGAGCUAUCAUGAAUAAAAAAAAAAAAAAGAAAAAGAAAAAGAAAUUACGGUAUAAAAAAAUAUAGAUAUAUAUAUAUAUAUAACAAUAUAUUAUUCUUGUAUUUUAAUUUUAAAAAAUUUUAAUAUAUGGUUCAAAUAUGUUAUUAUCAUUAAUUUUACUUUAUAUAUAUUCUAAAAGGAUAAUUUCUUUUAUUUAAUAAUAUUCCUUUCUAAAGAGCUCACAUAAAAAUAAUAUUAUAAUAUAUAUAUAAAUAUAUUUAUGUUAUGAUUAGAAAAUCUAAAACACUUUAUUGUACUAUAUUAUAAUAUAUAUAAUAAUUUAAAAGAAGCACUUACUUUUUAUAUAUAUUAAUAUAAAUAUAUUUUUCCUAUUUUUUAUUAUGCUUUACAAUAAUAUAUAAAAAAAAAAAAAAAUUAUAUAUAUAUAUAUAUAUAUAUAAUUGUUAGUUUUAAUAUGCCUUAAACUUUUUCUUACGUAUUUUUUUAAAUGGAACAAAAUCGUCUCAAAAGAAAAAAAAAAAAAAAAGA
rnacentral:sRNA from 1 species